GCAUUAUUAUUUUAAAUAUUAACGUUACAAUAAAUUUACUAGAGAUAGGUAGUACAGGUACACGAAAACGAUUUUGCAGUUCGGGAUUUCGAGUAUAUGGUGUGGGAAACGUGGGAAACGUGAUACAAUAUUUUACACGAUGAAAGAUCCCGUAUCAUAUUUUGGAUUUUACCGAUGAUAUAUUAUUGAAUUUGGAUUUCGCAAAACUCGCAAUUUUUAAUUUUUAGGGUUUUGCGAGUGAUGUAUCCAGCUGUCCUAAAUCUAUUAUCCGCGUCGAAAUCAAAUAACUAGACAAAAGUAUUACGGGUUUAUUUACAAAUUAGGUAGGUACUAUUAUGUAUAUAUAUAUAUAAAUUGACCUCCUACGUAUUAUUCGUACAGUGAUUCGGGUAGUUAUUGUUUUAAUUUAGCUAAUGUAUAUGUUCAUGUUUUUUUUUUUGAUACACUUACACUAUUGUUUAUACGGGUUU